GCGUCUAUAGCUCAGUAGGAUAGAGCAGCAGUUUCCUAAACUGCGUGUCGGUGGUUCGAUUCCGCCUAGGCGCA
rnacentral:tRNA from 1 species